CAGGUUGACAGAGACUGGAGACUCAGCCCAGCCCCAAGGCUCCUGUGGGCCUCCAAAUAGCUGUGUUACCAGAGGAGACCAAGAGGAGACCCUAGUGACAUCAGCCCCUCUCCCACAGAAGCAGGCUUCCAGACAGGCUUAAAAUGAGCAAUCCCAGAGGCAGAAAGGAAAGACCUCGCUAACACCAAGAAAGAAGGGCCAGGAGCAGAGUGCAUCUUUGGACCCAAGGUCCCUGCACCGAGAACCUCCUAGAUCAAGAAGACAUAAAACUAUAAGACCAGAGAAGGCACAAGACAGCAAGAAGCAGCAGCUGAGAACUGACAGCAGCAGAACAAGACCAGCAGGAGAUGGUGAAGUAAUUUUCCUGGCCCAGGGAUUGAUAGAGAUGAUCGCCUUCAGGCAGGAGGUUUGUUGGCAGAAUGAGAUGCCUCUGGACACUUACUAGUAGAGCUAAAGAGCUUUGUAACACUUCCCCAGCAGGGCUGGUCCCAGAAGCCUGAGAGACAAGAGGGGCUGAGGGGCCGAAGGCCAGAAAGAGGCCUGUCUGUGGGCCUGACCAAGAACCUGUCCUGAUGGAAGAACUGUAUCCUAUUUCUGAUCCUAGAUUGUAACCUGGUACUUCCCUGAUAAACCCCAUUAUCGUGAGUUCUGUGUGGCCAUUAUGAUGAAUUAUCGAACACAGUAGAGGAGUAGAGAGUGUGCUGUGGGAGGAAUGGCUGGUGCAGGAACUGGUAAAAAAGGUUGGAGGAUUGAGACUUUCUGUCCUGUUGGGCAUUGUGGUCAUUACAAUUCAUCUGCACUGCUGGAUACCACGGAAAACAGUGCUGUGAUCCCAACCCUCACUGACAUUCCCUGUCUUGAUGAGCUUUGGGGAAAACGAGAGGGAUAAGGUUUCCCUCCCCACCCACAGACUCUGUAGUCACUAUAAUUCAUAUGCAGCCCUGGAAACCAUGCAAGGCAGCGUCACAAGCCUGACCCUCACAGCCCUUCUGUGUCUUGGGCCGUGUUGGGGCCACUGGAACCAGGUACAGACAGGGACCCUCCCCAAACCCUCCAUCUGGGCUGACCCAGGCCCCAUCAUUGCCAUGGGGAGCCCUGUGACUAUCUGGUGUCUGGGGCCUCUGGAUGCUGAUGGCUACUACAGUCUGUAUAAAGAGAGAAUCUCUCAACCCUGGGGUAUGAAAGCCUCACUGGACUCCAAGUACAAGGCCAGUUUCCUCAUCAACAAAUCCAUGGACAUACACCAAUCAGGGUGGUUCCAGUGUGCAUAUCACAGCUCGAGUGGCUGGUCAGAAUGGAGUGACCCCCUGCUCCUUGUGACAGCAGAAGCAGCUGAUACCACCAGUCCAUCAAAACACAAGCCAGACUUCAAGAGUGGAGCCUACAGCAAACUCAUCCUCUCAGCCCUACCAAGCCGUGUGGUGACCUUAGGAGGAAAUGUGAUCCUUCAAUGUGGUUCAUGGCAGAAACUUGAUGGGUUUGUUCUAAGAAAGGAGAACACAAAGUCUUCUGGACUCUGGACUCACACCCACAUUCCAGUGGGCAUUCCCAGGCCCUCUUCCCUGUGGGCCUCUUGACCCCCAGCCACAGGUGGACAUGCAUAUUCUGUGGAUAUUGCAAGACAACUUUCUAUGUGUGGUCACGCCCAUCGACACCCUAGAGCUCCUGGUCUCAGGUUGUUAGGUGCCAUCGAGUCAGUUUUGACCCAUAGCAUCUUAGUGCAAAAGAAUGAAACACUACCCAGUCCUGAGCCAUCCCCAUGAUCAUUGUUGUGCUUGACAGCCACUGUGUCAAUCCAUUUCCUUGAGGGUCUUCCUUUUUUUUCGAUGACCCUGCACUUUACCAAGCAUGAUGUCCUUCUCCAGGGACUGAUCCCUCCUGAUAACAUGUCCAAAGUAUGUGGGACAAAGUCUCACCAUCUUCGCUUCUAAGGAUCAUUCUGGCUGUACUUUCUCCAAAACAGAUUUGUUCAUUCUUUUGGCGGUUCAUGGUAUAUUCACUAUUCUUCACCAACACCAUAAUUCAAAGGCAUCAAUUCUUUGGUCUUCCUUAUUCAUUGUCCAGCUUUCACAUGCAUAUGGGGUGAUUGAAAACACCAUGGCUUGGGUCAGACGGACCUUAGUCUUCUUUAUAACACUCUGAAGAGGUCUUUUGCAGCAGAUUUGCCUAAUGCAAUGCAUCUUUUGAUCUCUUGACUGCUGCUUCCAUGACUGUUGAUUGUGGAUCCAAGUAAAAUGAAAUCCUUGCCAACUUCAAACUUUUCUCCAUUUGUCAUGAUGUUGUUUAUUGGUUCAGUUGUCAGAAUUUUUGUUUUCUUUAUGCUGAGUUGUAAUCCAUACUGAAGGUUGUGGUCUUUAAUCUUAAUCAGCAAGUGCUUCAAGUCCUCUUCACUUUCAGCAAGCAAGGUUGUGUCUCCUGAAUAACAAAGGUUGUUAAAGAGUCUUCCUCCAAUCCUGAUGCCCUGUUCUACCUUAUAAAGUCCAGCUUCUCAGAUUAUUUGCUCAGCAUACAGAUUAAAUAAGUAUGAUGAAAGGAUACAACCCUGAUGCACACCUUUCCUGACUUUAAACCACACAGUACCCCCUUGUUCUGUUCAAACGACUGCCUCUUGGUCUAUGUACAGGCUCCUUAUGAGCACAAGUAAGUGUUCUGGAAUUCAUUCUUCACAAUGUUACCCAUAAUUUGUUAUGAUCCACAAAGUCAAAUGCCUUUGCGUAGUCAAUAAAAUACAGGGAAACAUCUUUCUGGAGCUGGCCCCCUGAAUUUGGACUUCUGACUUCCUAGACUGUGAGAGAAUAAAUUUCUGCUUGUUAAUGUCUCCCACUUGUGUUAUUUCUGUUUUAACAGCACCAGAUAACUAAGGCAGAAAUGAUGGAAAUGAGGAGAGCCCUGCAGGUGGUUCCUCCAAGAGGAGGAACUAGCCUGUGAGAGGGUAAACAUAAACCAGGAUGUUCCACUCAUUCCUGAGGUCUCAAACAAGGCUAAAUGUUGAUACAGGGCUGGAAUAAGAUGUGAGUGAAUCCAGGAGGAAACAUAUUUAUACUGAAGUGGGAGAAGACAGAGGAUCCCACAACCACUUCCCUCAUGAUGUCUUCAUCUCAGAAUCAGAAACUCUGGGUGUUCCAACCCUUUCCCGUAUGAUUCUGGCCCAUGGCUGAAGCAGUGGAUACCAUCAGUUCAUCAAUAUACAAGUCAGACUCCAAGAGUGGAGGAAAAUGAGAAUCACAAAAAGGAAGUCACCCGCUCAAGAUUGACAUCACUUAUGUCACGGCUACAUCUUCAUUUGAAAUCUCUGAAUUGCCUUCAACCAGUGCUCUUACCUAGUGCCUGAAGAAAGAAUUCAGAGUAUGAGAUGGGGAGCUCUGCACAGGGCAUGAAGGGGCACUAAGGAGCAGAAGCAACUCAGAGGCUCUGAAGGUUUUCCACUUAUAGAAACAGGGAUGUAAUUUAAGGGAAGUAUUUAGGACAACAAAAACCCACAAUCCUGGCCAUGAAAAAGGAAUGUGCUUUCUUCUGAGAGUCGAUGAACAGUCUUAUAAACAUCUCCAGAUGCCUCUUUCUCUGUAUGGGUUCAUCUUCUCUUUGAUGGCCCCAUUGGCUUCUCCAGUCAACCAAGGCACCCUCUCCUGCUUCGCAUCCAAUCAUCAAGUUCAAACAGUUCUACCUCGUGAUGCCAAUGCCAUCACACCAGACUCCUUCCUGUCCCUACUCUAGGCUCUUUCUCCCUAUUGUAGUUUAUUCUCCCCAAAGACCCCAUUCUGAAAUGGCUCUGACCCUGCAUGCUCAAUAUUCUUGCACAGGGUUCCAUAUUUCUCUAAAGAAGAUCCAAGUUCCUCCUGCUGAAAUUCAAGUUUGUCAAUGAUCAAGCCUGAGCUAAACUCUCCAGCCACAGCAAACACUGUUCCUCCCACCUCUGCCUCAGAAAACACACAUACAUACAACCUUAUACACACAUCAAGGUAUGUGAUCAUUAGGGUUGUGUGUCAACUUGGUGCCAUGAUUUCAGUGGUUUGGCAGUUAUGACAUAGUUUGGCAAUCGUAUGAUGAUGUGACCACUUCCAUGACGAGCUUUGACAUAAUGCGAUCACCUCCAUGAUGGGAUCUGCUGUGAGUAGCCAAUCAGUUGAAAGGGAGAUUCCUUGGGUGUGUGGCCUGCACUGAAUAUAAGUGGACAUUCUGGCAAGGCUAACGGGCUUUUCCUUGCUCUGGACGCUGCAAGUGGCUCCUGUUCAUCUGGCCUCUGGUUCUUGGGACUUGAGCUUACUUGCAGACUUACCUGCCAGUCUUGGAAUUCAUCGGUCUUCUAAGCCUGUGAGCAAGAGCUCUGCUGUCUGACACGCUGAUCUUGGAUUUGCCAGCGCCUGUGGCUACAUGAAUCAGGAGAAGCCUCCAGCCACAGAAUUGGAACAUUCCAGCCUCUACAACAACGUGAGCCAUUUCCUUUAUAUAAAUCUCUCUAUACAUAUAUUUAUAUGCUUUACUGGUUUUGCUUCUCUAGAGAACCCAGCCUAAGACAAGGUAUUCAGCAUUUUGAGCCUUUUCUUGGGCUGCUUUAUCAGCCAAUAUUUAUGAAUAUAGGAAACUCCUUUACAAUCUCCCUUACUAAGAUAAAGACUAAGAAGUCUUCCUGCUACAUUUCACUCAACUGUAAAUGUGUUUGUGUCAUAAGGUUUGUGUAAAGGUUACAUGAGAAACCCUCACAAACCACUUAGAAUAAUAAUUGGCACAUCAUAUAGUUGUUAGGUGCUGUCAAGUUGGUUCCAAGUUAUAGUGACCCUAUGUAUGACAGAACAAAUCACUGCCCAGUCAUCUGCCAUCCUCACAAUCAUUGUUAGGCUUGCUCCCAUAAUGUAGAGGUUGAGGUAAUUUUGGAGUUUUAUUAUUGCUUAGUUUAAGUGUGGUCUUGCCACAUACCAUUCUCUGCAUACUAGUGGUCUUCCUAAAAGAGAAAAUUUUUUAUACUUUUUCUUGCUUAAAGUCUCUGUGGCCUUAAAUAUAAAAUCCAAAUCAUGUGCAUGAGGCACAAGACCCUGUGUGACCAGGUCCCAGCGUGUCCCUGAUUCCUCUCAGUUCUUAGAACAGUUUAAGCUCUUUCCGAUGGAGAAUGUCUUCCCCUCAUGUAUGACAAUUCCUACAUAAGCCGUGAUCUCUCCCUCCUCCAGAAGGUCUCUUCACUCCCAUGAUCCAGAUUGCAUGCUAUCCACCUAUUUUACUCCUUUCUUACACCUUGCUAAAACUGUAGCUGAAUUACUCAUUAUUGAAAUAUUUGCAAUGUCUGUUUUCUCUUCAUUUGAGCUCCAUGGGUCCAGGAAGGAAUCUGUGCGCUUUGCCCUUGAAGUUCCAAUAUCAGGCACCAUUCCUGGCACAUGCUCAGUGUUCAAUAAACAUUUGUUGAUUGCAUGGUUGAUGGAAGGAAGGACCAAAAUGUGCAUUUAGGGAGGGUCAGAAAAGGGAAGGGAUUUGUUCUAGAUCAUCCAACUUCUAUAAAAGGCAGACUCAGAAUUAUAACUGAAACUGGGUUGGCUCCUGAGCCCUAAUUGUCUAGUCUCAUGCUCUGGAUUUGGGUUUUGUAUGAGGUGGAUGAGAUGGACGCAUCUGAGCUGCAGAGUGCUGGGUGUCAAGUUAGACACAACCUGGUCUGAAAGAUCUUGAGAGCCUUCUAUCUCCUCAGCUCCAACCACUGGGAAGAUCAGAGCCAUGUCCCAGGGAGGGGGUUUUCCACUUCCUUUGAGGACAUAGAUGACGAAACCACGUGACUCAUACCACAGACCCUAAGACUUUUCACACCAUGUGGGUCUGAUGCUCCUGUUGUCUUUUGUGGACAUUAUAAUUUGUCUAAGCCCUGGAGACUAUGGGAGAGAGAGCUACAACCCCAAUCCUCCCAACCCAUCUUUGUCUUGGUAAGCUUUGGUGGAAAAGAGAAGGGAUUAGGUCCUUUUUGCCACAUGCAGGUCCUCAUUCCUUGGGAAGCUCCAAGUACUAAGGAGGCUCAAGUGGAGGCUGAGCCUCUGGAGGUGGAGAGAACCUUCUCAGCUCCAGGAUUGACCCCACUCAGGGGACGGACAACCUAUGGAACUUCUGUGUGUGGAUGGGAGGAACAAGUUUUUCACAGAGAACUCUAUCCCAGUGAUGUGAUGGAGCCACUGGUACCAGGUAUAGAUAUAUGAGUCCUCCCACAGACCCACCAGUUACAACAUUGUUGUCCAGGACAAGGAAACCCCUGGGUGGCUCAGGGAUAGCACAGAGAGUCUGGGCUGGUGAUGACCAGUCAUGGAGGGAUCUUGGAGUGAGAGCUGGGGAAACUGAGGUUCAAACCCCUUGAAAUUCAGGUCUGAUUCCUUUCCAGGAACCGUUCCUAAAUCUUCCAUCUGGGCUGACCCAAGUACCAUAAUCACCUGGGGAAGUCCAUCUGGUGUCAGAGGUCUCUGCAGGCAUUUGACUAGCAUCUGUGUAAAGAGGGAGUCUCUAAACUCUGGAAUACCUGGGUUCUAUUGGACUCCAGGGACAAGGCUAGUUACUCUAAUGAAUACGUUAACAUAUAUGAUAUAGCGCGAUUUCAGUGUACAUAUCACUGUUCAAUAGGCUGGUCAGAGCAGAGUGACCUCGGCUUCUGGUAGUGAUAGGUAAGAAACAGGGGCCAGGACAUCCCUCCAUGGUCAGCUCCUCCUCACAGGCAGAAGGGAGCAGAAGGUCCCUCAGGUGAGACCUCACACCACACUUGUGUGAGGUGAGAGUAGCCCCCCUUUAACUCAGCUCCCUUCUUCUCCCUCAGGAAUACACAGCAAAUCCUCCUUCUCAGUCCAUCUAAGCCCUCUGGUGGCUUCAGGAGGUAAUGGUUUCUUCUUGUGUAGCUCAAAAGACACAAUGGACACUUUCUAUCUGCUCAAGGAGGGAGAAGCUGACCCACCCAGAUACAAGAAAUCUCAGUUCUCUGCUGAAAGGCACUAGACCUUUUUUCCAGUGGAUCCUGUGGACACCUCGCAUAGGGAUACCUACAGAUGCUAUGGUUCUUCUAGCACUUACCCCAUCAGUGGUCAUUCCCCAGUGACCCUUUGGAUCUCCUGCUCCAAGUGAAGAGCCCCCAUCCCAUGUCCAUUCAGGGCUCAGAUUGUCAGCUCACAGUCAGUCCCUGGAUUCUUCUGUGCUAUGAUGGGAAGGAAGGGAGCAACAAGAGGGGGCCCUGUCCCACAGAGGGGUGGAAAAAGUGGGAAAUUCCAACAACCUCUCCAUCCUAACAACUACCCUAGGAUUCUAGGCUGUUCUAGAUGAUGGGAUGGCAGAGGUUGAAGGAUGAAUGAAGCCCUCCUAGGAGGAAAGGAGCUUGGGCUGAAGAAGGCUAGAAAGGCAGCCCCAGCUCCACAUCAUCCUCCUGUCCCUGUUCCAAGCAGCAUUUAGAGCUUCAGCCCCUCACCCACAUGGACACGAACUCCAUGACAGUCAAGUCUCAGGCCAGAGGAAUCAGUCUCCCACAGGUCUGGUCUUCCGUUCUCAGUUUAUUCUUGUCUUGUUCAAAUCUUUACAAAAGGGGCUGUAGCCCAGAGGAACUGGGGAAGGUGAUGGAAAUUAAGGGGAGAGACCUCAUGUAUCUGGAGCACUGGAGUCAUUGGUGCCUUUUAGGUGGUCAGUGUGUGGGAGGAAAUAUCUGAAGGAGAAGAGGCCAAGGUGAGUUGGGGAGAGAAGAGCAGACUCAGUUCUUCACCCCUUCAAUCGUGCUGAUUUCUAGGGGCCACUAAGAGUCAUCACCAGGCACCCCUGGAGUCAUGCCCAUAAUAUGAAGAAUAAAGGGUGUCUCUUAUUUUGGGAAUCAGAGUGGUUGGGGGAUUCAUGGGAAGUCAUAGCCGGAAGUUGAGUUGGAUCGACAACUCCUGGGUUGGAGGCCCUGGCAAAAUUUUAUCCAACUCUAGGUCUUUAUUCUCCCAUCAGGAAAAGAAUAAAUCCUGUCCUGGAUUUCAAAAGGCCCAAUCAGUUCAGAACUUGUGUUCCAAUGACUUCCUGGGAAAGGAGGUGUCAGAAUGCAUCUGGGGCUUCAGUCCACUCUGGACACGUCCUGUUUCCUCCAGAAAUUGUGGUCAUGCUGUGGGAGAAAACACUGAAGGAUAGAACAGAUGCCUGCCCAAGUGUUCUUCCUCAGUUUCCAUGAGUACUUGGUUGUCAGCCUAAUAGGGUCAUCCGCAAAAAGACCAUCUGUGAGAACUUGUGUAAAGUAAUCCUUCCUCUUGACCUCCUAAGGGCAGGCUCUUCUUGGUUCCCUGAGGAAAGGCUCCUCUCAGGAUAGGCCUCCUCUCUUGGCCCUCAGCUCUCACUUUGGCCAGACCUCUCCCCUGUCUGGUCAAGUAUUACACAGCUCUUUAGCUCCACCGACAAGUGCCCAGAGGCAUCCCACUCUGCCAGCAAGCCUUUUGCCCAAAGGCUCUCAACUCUCUUGCACUGUGGGUUGAUACACCCACUGUAGCUUCCUUUCUCAGUGAGCCAGGAAACCCACAGCGCCAUCUCACACCAGUCUCCUGUUUCUGCUGCUGUCAUUUUUCUGCCAUUGCUUCUCACCAGCUCACACCAUCUCUGGUGUUGCAUCUCUCUCUCUCUGUGUCACCUGGGUCUAGGAGGUUCUCAGCACAGGAACCUGGGUUCAAAAGACACACUUCACUCCUGGCUCUUCCUUCUUGAUGGAAGUGAGGUCCCCUUGUUUCUCUGGAAUGAGCUCAUUUUAAGCCUAGUGGGAUGGCAAGACUGAUCAAUCCCCUCAUUAGGGUUCCAUACACCUUAUAUGAAUGAUCCCACCACCACAAGAGUUCAGAGCACCUUAUCUGCAUUAUUAGCAGUUUGUGCAAUCCACUUGUUGGGCUACAAACACCUUGUUUGUACAGUUCCACUCAGUCCUUGUGUUGAAGUCACAAAGACUAUGACUAGAAGGGCCAUAUUAAGUAAUUCACUGCACCGCACUAACAUAUUUAUUUUUAGUGAAUAGUUACAAAUUCAUGCAUGGAUUUCAAGAAUUGGAGUAUGCCCCACAUCUAAUUCCAAAUUUUACACUCUGUAAUAGCCCCCUACAUUAACUACCAGGAAAAGCACACAAUUAUAUCCUCUGGGUUUUUAAUAUAAAUGUUAAACACAAAAUUUCCCAAUUUCAUUGAAUCUUUUGAAAUUUAUAUGAUACUUGACACUCUCUUUUCAGGAGCCACACUUUUGCUAUUAUCAAUAUCAAAAUUGCCAUUUUUUUUUUCUUUGAAGCCCUGUACUCUUUGCUUUUUAUUAUGUUGUGGCUUGUUCCUUAGGAGCCCUGGUGGUGUAGUGGUUAAGCCAACCAGAAGGUUAAAACCCAACAGCCGGUCUGUGGGAGAAAGAUGUUGCAGUAUGCUUCCAUAAACAUUACAGCCUCGGAAACUAUAUGGGGCAACUACUCUUUCCUAUAGGGCCUCUACAAGUCAGAACUGACAGGACGACAAUAGGUUUGGCUUGUUCUUAUCAGUCCAGAUUAUAAUCACUCUGAAUACACUUAAGUUUAUACUAAAAUAAAAAUAACAUUGGAUUAAAAACAGUUCACCUCACAGCUUUGUUUGUUUCAUCCAAACGCAUAAUGUUAGCCUGUCUUUGUGGCAAGAAACCCACAGAUACCUUCAAGAAUAUUCAAGCAAAAUCUUUAAAUUAUUUUUUUUAUUGAACUUCAGAUGAAGGUUUACAGAACAAACUAGUUUCUCAUCAAACAGUUAGUACACACAUUGUUGUAUGACAUUGGUUAACAGCCCCAUGACAUGUCAACACUCUCCUUUCUCAACCCUGGGUUCCCUAUUACUAACUUUCCUGUUCCCUCCUACUUUCCAGUCCCUGCCCCAGGGCUGGUGUGCCCCUUUAGUCUUGUUUUGUUCUAUGGGCCUGUUCAAUCUUCGGCUGAAGGGUGAACCUCAGGAGCGGCCUCAUUACUGAGCUGAAAGAGUGCCCAGGGUCCAAUACUCUCAGGGUUUCUCCAGUCUCUGUCAGGCCAGCAAAUCUGGUCUUUCUUUUCGAGUUAGAAUUUUGUUCUAUAUUUUUCUCCAGCUCUGUCCGGGGCCCUCUAUUAUGAUCCCUGUCAGAGCAGUCAGUGGUGGUAGCCAGGCUCCAUCUGGUUGUACUGGACUCAGUCUUGUGGAAGCCAUGGUAGAUGUGGUCCAUUAGUCCUUUGGACUAAUCUUUCGCUUGUGUCUUUAGUUUUCUUCAUUCUUCCUUGCUCCCAAAGAGGUGAGACCAGUGAAGUGUCCUAGAUGGCUGCUCACAGGCUUUUAAGGCCCCAGACAUCAAGCAAAAUCUUUAAUCGUAAAUUUUUCACAUGGUAACCAAUAAAAGUGUCGUGAUUUCAAACAGUAUUUGCUCAAUGUGUUUGUUUGUUUCGAUGGCAACUUUCCAUCAUGGCUCUCCUGAGGUCUCUACAUCCCACUUCUAAUUCAAUAAACCACACAGUUUUAUGAAUCAUUUCACUCUAUUUUACUGUUGGAGUUACCGUCUGUUGUAUAAAAGAAAUUAUCUCACACGUUAAAAAGUUGCUUACAGCUAUAGGUAUUUAAAUGGCUACAUUGACUUCACAUCUUUGUAGAGUAUAAUCAUUUAAUUAAAUAUUGGCAGCUAAUUUAUCCUCUGCCUUAAGUAAUCAAAUUUUACCUGGAGAGUGGAAAAAAUAAUGAAGAGUACAUUUCCAAGUGUUGGAGAGUUUGUACAUCAUCAGGCUCUUUAAGGAGCCAUAGCUGGUGGAGUAAACCUUCACCUAAAGUUCAAUAAAAAAAAUAAUUUAAAGAUUUUGCUUGAAUAUACUUGAAGGUAUCUGUGGGUUUCUUGCCACGAAGACAGGCUAACAUUAUGCAUUUGGAUGAAACAAACAAACAAAGCUGUGAGGUGAACUGUUUUUAAUCCAAUGUUAUUUUUAUUUUAGUAUAAACUUAAGUGUAUUCAGAGUGAUUCUGUUUAUGCCAUGUAUUAGGGCUCCUAACGUUGUCCCUAUUUUUUCUUCCAUAAUCUUUAUUGUUUUGGACUUUAUGUUUAGGUCUUUGAUGCAUUUGGAGUUAGUUUUUGUGCAUGGUGUGAGGUAUGGGUCUUGUUUCAUUUUUUUGCAGAUGGAUAUCCAGUUAUGGCAGCACCAUCUGUUAAAAAGACUAUCUUUUCCCCAAUUAACUGACACUGGGCCUUUGUCAAAUAUCAGCUGCUCAUAUGUGGAUGGAUUUAUAUCUGGACUCUUGAUUCUGUUCCAUUGGUCUAUGUGUCUGUUGUUGUACCAGUACCAGGCUGUUUUGACUACUGUGGUGGUAUAAUAGGUUCUGAAGUCAGGUAGAGUGAGGCUUCCCACUUUGUUCUUUUUCAGUAAUGAUUUACUUAUCUGAGGCUUCUUUCCCUUCCAUAUGAAGGGGUCUGUUUUUCCAUCUCAUUAAAAAAUGUCAUUGGAAUUUGGUUGCAUUGUAUAUAUAGAUGGCUUUUGAGAGAAUAGAUAUUUUUACAAUGUUAAGUCUUCCUAUCCAUGAGCAAGGUAUGUUUCUCCACUUAUGUAGGUCCGUUUUGGUUUCUUGCAGAAGUGCCUUGUAGUUUUCCUUGUAUAGGUCUUUUACGGCUCUGGUUAGAUUUAUUCGUAAGUAUUUUAUCUUCUUGGGGGCUAUGGUGAAUGGUAUUGAUUUGGUGAUUUCCUCUUCGAUGUUCUUUUUGUUGGUGUAGAGGAAUCCAACUGAUUUUUGUAUGUUUAUCUUGUAAUCUGAUACUCUGCUGAGCUCUUCUAUUAGUUUCAAUAGUUUUGUUUGUUUUGUUUUUUUUGAGGAUUCUUUAGGGUUUUCUGUGUAUAAGAUCAUGUCAUCUGCAAACAGAGAUACUUUUACUUCUUCCUCACCAGUCUGGAUGCCCUUUAUUUCUUUAUCUAGCCUAAUUGCUCUGGCUAGGACUUCCAGGACAAUGUUGAAUAAGAGUGGUGAUAAGGGGCAUCCUUGUCUGGUUCCCAUUCUCAAUGGGAAUGCUUUCAGAAUCUCUCCAUUAAGGAUGAUGUUGGCUGUUGGCUUUGUAUAAAUACCCUUUAUUAUGUUGAGGAAUUUUCCUUCUAUUCCUAUUUUGCUGAGAGUUUUUAUCAUGAAUGGGGGUUGGACUUUGUCAAAUGCCUUUUCUGCAUCAAUUGAUAAAAUCAUGUGGUUCUUGUCUUUUGUUUUAUUUGUAUGGUGGGUUACAUUAAUUAUUUUUCUAAUAUUGAACCAACCUUGCAUACCUAAUAUAAAUCCCAGUUGGUCACGGUGAAUUAUUUUUUUGAUAUGUUGUUGAAUCCUGUUGGCUAGAAUUUUGCUGAGGAUUUUUGCAUCUACGUUCAUGAGGGAUAUGUCUGUAAUUUUCUUUUUUUGUGCUGUCUUUAGCUGGUUUUGGUAUCAGAGAUAUGCUGGUUUCAUAGAAUGAGUUGGGGAGUAUUCCAUCCUUUUCUAUGCUUUGAAAUACCUUUAGUAGUAGUGGUGUUAACUCUUCUCUGAAAGUUUGGUAGAACUCUGCAGUGAAGCCAUCCAGUCCAAGGCUUUUUUUUGUUGUUGAGAGUUUUUUGAUUACCGUUUCAAUCUCUUUUUUUGUUAUGGGUCUAUUUAGUUGUUCUACUUCUGUUUGUGUUAGUUUAGGUAGGUAGUGUGUUUCUAGGGGUUCAUCCAUUUCUUCUAGGUUUUCAAGUUUGUUAGAGUACGAUUUUUCAUCAUAAUCUGAUAUCAUUCUUUUAAUUUCAGUUGGGUCUGUUGUGAUAUGGCCAAUCUCAUUUCUUAUUCGGGUUGUUUCCUUUCCUCUUUUACGUUAGUCAGUCUGGCCAAUGGUUUGUCAAUUUUGUGAAUUUUUUCAAAGACCCAGCUUUUGGCCUUGUUAACUUUUUCAAUUGUUUUUCUGUCUUCUAAUUCAUUUAAUUCUGCUCUAAUUUUUAUUACUUGUUUUCUUCUGGUGCCUGAGAGUUUCUUUGGUUGCUCUCUUUCUAUUUGUUCAAGUUGUAGGGACAGUUCUUUGAGUUUGGCUCUUUCUUCUUUUUGUAUGUGUGCAUUUAUUGAUAUAAAUUGACCUCUGAGCACUGUUUUUGCUCUGUCCCAAAGGUUCUAAUAGGAACUGUUUUCAUUCUCAUUGCAUUCUAUGAAUUUCUUUAUUCCCUCCUUAAUGUCUUUUAUAACCCAGUCUUUUUUCAGCAGGGUAUUGUUCACUUUCCAAGUAUUUGAUUUCUUUUCCCUAGUUUUUCUGUUACUGAUUUCUACUUUUAUGGCCUUAUGGUCUGAGAAGGUGCUUUGUAAUAUUUAGAUGUUUUGGGUUCUGCAAAGUCUUGCUUUAUGUGGUCUAUUCAAGGGAAUGUUCCAUGUGCACUAGAAAAGAAAGUAUACUUUGCAGCUGUUGGGUGGAGUGUUCUGUAUAAGUCUAUGAGGUCAAAUUGGUCGAUUGUAGCAAUUAAAUCUUCCAUGUCUUUAUUGAGCUUCUUACUGGAUGUCCUGUCCUUUACUGAAAGUGGUGUGUUGAAGUCUCCUACUAUAGUUGUGGAGGUGUCUAUCUCACUUUUCAAUUCUGUUAGAGUUUGGUUUGUGUAUCUUGCAGCCCUGUCAUUGGGUUCAUAAAUAUUUAAUAUGCUUAUAUCUUCCUGGUAAAUUGUCCCAUUAAUCAUUAUGUAGUGUCCUUCUUUAUCCUUUGUGGUGGAUUUAACUUUAAAGUCUAUUUUGUCAGAAAUUAAUAUUGCCACUCCUGCUCUUUUUUGAUUGUUGUUUGCUUGAUAUUUUUUUUUCCAUCCUUUGAGUUUUAGUUUGUUUGAGUCUCUAAGUCUAAGGUGUGUCUCUUGUAGGCAGCAUAUAGUUGGAUUGUGUUUUUUUAAUCCAAUCUGCCACUCUCUGUCUCUUUAUUGGUACAGUUAGUCCAUUUACAUUCAGCAUAAUUAUAGAAAAACAGGAGUUUAGUGCUGUCAUUUUGCUGCUUUAUUUUGUGUGUUGUUGACAAUUUCAUUUUUCCACUUAUUUUUUUUGUUCUGAGAAGUUUUUCUCUGUAAAUUGUGUGUUCUUCAUUUUCAUAGUAGUUGAAUUUAUUUUUGCUGAGUCAUUAUGUUUAUCUCAGUUUUUAUUGUGAAAUAUGGAAUUGUUAGACCUCUUUGUGGUUACCUUAAUAUUUACCCCUAUUUUUCUAAGUAAAAACCUAACUUGUAUCACCCUAUAUUGCCUUGGUUUCCUUUCCAUCUGGAAGAUCUAUGCCUCCUGUAUUUAGUCCCUCUUUUUUGAUUAUUGUAAUCUUUUACAUAAUGACAUCAAUGAUUCCCUGUUUUGAGCAUUUUUUUUUAAUUAAUCUUAUUUUGUUUUUGUGAUUUCCCUAUCUGAGUUGAUAUCAGGAUGUUCUGUUCUGUGACCUUGAGUUGUGUUGGUAUCCGAUAUUAUUGAUUUCUUGACCAAAGAAUUUCCUUUAGUAGUUCUUGCAGCUUUGGUUUGGUUUUUGCAAAUUCUCUAAGCUUGUGUUUAUCUGUAAAUGUCUUAAUUUCACCUUCAUAUUUUAGAGAGAGUUUUGCUGGAUGUUAUGAUUCUUGGCUGGCAGUUUUUCUCCUUCAGUGCUCUAUAUAUGUCAUCCCAUUACCUUCUUGCCUGCAUAGUUUCUGCCGAGUAGUCUGAACUUACUCUUAUUGAUUCUUCUUUAUAUGUGACUUUUCAUUUAUCCCUGGCUGCUUUUAAAUUUUUCUCUUUAUCUUUGGUUUUGGCAAGUUUGAUGAUAAUAUUUCUUGGUGAUUUUCUUUUGGAAUCUAUCUUGUAUGGGGUUCAAUGAGCAUCUUGGAUAGAUACCCUUUAAUUUUUCACAAUGCCAGGGAAGUGUUCUGCCAACAGGUCUUCAACCAUUUUCUAUGUAUUUUCUGUUAUCCCUCCCUGUUCUGGAACUCCAAUCACACAGAAGUUAUUCUUCUUAAUAGAGUCCCACAUGAUUCUCAGGGUUUCUUCAUUAUUUUUAAUUCUUUUAUCUGAUUUUUCUUCAAAUAUAUUGGUACCAAUUGCCUUAUCCUCCAUCUCCCCAACUCUGCAUUCCAAUUCCUCUAUUCUGUUCCUCUGACUUCAUAUUGAGUUGUCUAAUUCUGUAAUUUUAUUAUUAAUCUUUUGAAUUUCUGAAUGCUGUCUCUCUAUGGAUUCUUGCAGCUUAUUAAAUUUUUCACUAUAUUCUUGAAUAAUCUUUUUGAUUUCUUUAACUGUUUUAUCUGUGUGUUCCUUGGCUUUUUCUGUAGAUUGCCUUAUUUCAUUUCUGAGGUCAACCUUGAUGUCUUGAAGCAUUCUGUAUAUUAGUUUUUUAUAUUCUACAUCUGGCAAUUCCAGGAAUGUAUCUUCACCUGGGGAAGAUUUUGAUUCUCUGAUUUGGGGGUUUGUAGAAGCAAUCAUGGUCUGUUUCUUUAUGUGAUCUGAUAUUGACCGCUGUCUCCGAGCCAUCUAUAAGAUGUUGUAAUGGUUUAUUUUAUAUUUGCUCAUUGAGUCUUCUUGUUUUGUUUUGUUCCAAUACACCCAGAUGGGCUACUAGAGUGUGCUAACUUGAUUGUUGUAGCCUUUGAAUCACUUAUGUGCUGUUACCAGCUGGUUUGAGCUGUUACCACGUAUAUGAGCCUGUUAGUCCAUUCACUAUUCUUGAAUAGACUCAGCUCAGGUGUCCUGAUAGUGGGUCACCUAGUGUGUGUGUAGGCUCUCAUCUAUAAUCCCAGAGGAGUAGUGGUGAUGGUUGGAUGUGCUGGUUUCUAGUAUCAGCAGGAGGUCACACUCCAAGGAGGGCAGGAUGCUGACAGCCUUCCCCCAAGUGCCAGUGAAGUAAGAGUGUCUCUAUUCUCUAGAGCAUUCUGGUGGGUGUGCUUUGCAACUGUACCUUAGGCACCCAAUGCUUGUAUCUCUAAAGAUUGGUAGACAUCUCUAUCCUCAGACCCCUUUAGCUGGUGGCUAGGUGGUGUGGAUGAAGCUUCAGCCCUCAGUUCCCUGCUGUAGAUAAGUGAGGACCCUGUUUAAUAGGUAGAGAGAUAUCAGACCUCCAAAACUUGCCUUUCUACUGCUCAGCUAAAACAAUUACAGUCAGAUCUCUAUCAGAAUUGUCUUUGCAUUAUAAUAGCCACCAGGUUCUCUGUAGGGAUGAAAGCCAAAGACUGUGGAUCUCUUAUGCCUGGAUGGAGCUGGUUCUGUAUUGUUAUUCUGGUUUAGGGAAGUCAGGAAAGGGUUUUUCCCCUGAUUGUUAAUUGCUGUUUUUCUCAGGCCAGGAGAAUGGGUUAGAAGAAAAAAAAAACACAGAGCACUUCACUCUCUGGCCCAGAGAAUUCCAAUGUUAAUGAAGCUAGCUGGGGCACGGAGAGGAGGGAUCAGAUAGAUAGAAGAGAGUGUUGUUGUUGUUGUUGUUGUUAGGUGCCGUGAAGUCGGUUCCAACUUAUAGUGACCCUAUGCACAUCAGAAUGAAACAUUGCCUGGUCCUGAGCCAUCCUUACAAUUGUUGUUAUGCUUGAGCUCAUUGUUGCAGCCACUGUGUCAAUCCAUCUCAUUGAGGGUCUUCCUCUUUUCUGCUGACCCUGUACUCUGCCAAGCAUGAUGUCCUUCUCCAGGGACUGAUCCCUCUUGACAACAGGUCCAAAGUAUGUAAGACACAGUCUUGCCAUCCUUGCCUCUGAGGAGCAUUCUAGUUGUACUUCUUACAAGACAGAUUUGUUCAUUCUUUUGGCGGUCCAUGGUAUAUUCUAUAUUCUUUGCCAACACCACAAUUCAAAGGUGUCAAUUCUUCUUCAGUCUUCCUUAUUCGUUGUCCAGCUUUCACAUGCAUAUGAUGCAAUUGAAAAUACCAUGGCUUGGGUCACGCACACCUUAGUCCUCAAGGUAACAGACAUCUUUGCUCUUCAACACUUUGAAGAGGUCCUUUGCAGCAGAUUUGCCCAAUGCAAUGCAUCUUUUGAUUUCUUGACUGCUACUUCCAUGGGUGUUGAUCGUGGAUUCAAGUAAAAUGAAAUCCUUGACAACUUCAAUCUUUUCUCCUUUUAUCAUGAUGUUGCUCAUUGGUCCUGUUGUGAGGAUUUUUGUUUUCUUUAUGUUGAGGUGCAAUCCAUACUGAAGGCUGUGGUCUUUGAUCUUCAUUAGUAAGUGCUUCAAGUCCUCUUCACUUUCAGCAAGCAAGAUUGUGUCAUCUGCAUAAU